rnacentral:rRNA from 1 species
UGGGGAAUAUUGCACAAUGGGCGCAAGCCUGAUGCAGCGACGCCGCGUGGGGGAUGACGGCCUUCGGGUUGUAAACUCCUUUCGUUAGGGACGAAGCCACACUUUUUUUGGGUGUGGUGACGGUACCUUUGUUAAGAAGCACCGGCUAACUACGUGCCAGCAGCCGCGGUAAUACGUAGGGUGCGAGCGUUGUCCGGAAUUACUGGGCGUAAAGAGCUCGUAGGUGGUUUGUUGCGUCGUCUGUGAAAU